rnacentral:rRNA from 1 species
UCUGGUUGAUCCUGCCAGUAGUGAUAUGCUUGUUUCAAAGAUUAAGCCAUGCAUGUCUAAGUAUAAGCGAACUUAUACAGUGAAACUGCGGAUGGCUCAUUAAAACAGUUUGAAUUUAUUUGAUGAAUGUAUGAGAAUACUACUUGGAUAACCGUAGUAAUUCUAGAGCUAAUACAUGCAACGACGCCCGACCGUUUCACUACGGAAGGGCUGUAUUUAUUGGAUACCAAAACCAUCCUUCCCUCGGGAAGUUUUGUUUGAUGAUUCACAAUAACUGAUCGGAUCGCCACUGUGGUGGCGACAGGUCAUUCAACAUUCUGCCCUAUCAGCUUUCGAUGGUUGUGUAGUGGACAACCAUGGCCAUAACGGGUAACGGAGAAUCAGGGUUCGAUUCCGGAGAAGGAGCUUGAGAAUUGGCUACUACAUCUAAGGAAGGCAGCAGGCGCGCAAAUUACCCAAUCCCGAUUCGGGGAGGUAGUGACAAAAAAUAACAAUACCGGGCCUUUUUGGGCUUGGUAAUUGGAAUGAGGGAGAGUUAAACGGACCAUCGAGUAUCCAUUGGAGGGCAAGUCUGGUGCCAGCAGCUGCGGUAAUACCAGCUCCAAUAGCGUAUAUUAAAGUUGUUGCAGUUAAAAAGCUCGUAGUUGGACUUGUGUGCGCUGUCCGCGGGUGGCCUGCGCCCAAAAGGGCGUUUCGGUUCGGCCCCGGAGGCGCCUUGAAAUCUGCAGCUGGGGGGACGUUGGCCUUAACUGGUCGGCGACCGCACGCCGGCUGCUCGGUUACUGUGAGAAAAUUAGAGUGUUCAAGGCAGGCAUUGGGUGCAAUUGAAUACAUUAGCAUGGAAUAAUAAAAUAUGGCUCCUGCCGUAUUUUGUUGGUUUUGACUGGUGGGAGUAAUGAUUGAUAGGGACGGUUGGGGGUGCUAGUAUUGAGCGGCCAGAGGUGAAAUUCAUGGAUUCGCUCAAGACUAACUUAUGCGAAAGCAUUCACCAAGGACGUCCUCUUUAAUCAAGAACGAAAGUUGGGGGAUCGAAGACGAUCAGAUACCGUCGUAGUCUCAACCAUAAACUAUGUCGACUUGGGAUCGGCGGUAGUUUUUUCAUUAAGACACUGUCGGGACCACGGGAGAAAUCAAAGUGUCUGGACUCUGGGGGAAGUAUGGUCGCAAGGCUGAAACUUGAAGGAAUUGACGGAAGGGCACCACCAGGAGUGGAGCCUGC